GUCACGAUGCCAGAGUGGUUAAUGGGUUAGACUUGAAAUCUAAUGGCUUCGGCCGCGUAGGUUCAAGUCCUGCUCGUGACG
rnacentral:tRNA from 4 species